rnacentral:rRNA from 1 species
CCUACGGGCGGCAGCAGUAGGGAAUAUUGCUCAAUGGGGGAAACCCUGAAGCAGCAACGUCGCGUGGAGGAUGAAGGUUCUCGGAUUGUAAACUCCUUUUGUUAGAGAAGAUAAUGACGGUAUCUAACGAAUAAGCACCGGCUAACACCGUGCAAGCUGCCGUGGCAACAUGGAGGGUGCAAGCGUUACUCGGAAUCACUGGGCGUAAAGAGCGCGUAGGCGGGAUAGCAAGUCAGAUGUGAAAUCCUAUGGCUUAACCAUAGAACUGCAGUUGAAACCGUUGUUCUAGAGUAUGGGAGAGGUAGGUGGAAUUCUUGGUGUAGGGGUAAAAUGCAUAGAGAUCAAGAAGAAUACUCAUUGCGAAGGCGACCUACUAGAACAUAACUGACGCUGAUGCGCGAAAGCGUGGGGAGCAAACAGGAUUAGAUACCCUGGUAGUC